CCUACGGGUGGCAGCAGUGGGGAAUAUUGCACAAUGGGGGAAACCCUGAUGCAGCGACGCCGCGUGAGUGAAGAAGUAAGUCGUUAUGUAAAGCCCUAUCAGCAGGGAAGAAAAUGACGGUACCUGAGUAAGAAGCCCCGGCUAACUACGUGCCAGCAGCCGCGGUAAUACGUAGGGGGCAAGCGUUAUCCGGAUUUACUGGGUGGAAAGGGAGCGUAGACGGCGGUGCAAGUCAGGAGUGAAAGUCGGGGGCUCAACCCCCGGACUGCGCUGGAAACUGUACGGCUGGAGUGCAGGAGAGGUAAGUGGAAUUCCUAGUGUAGCGGUGAAAUGCGUAGAUAUUAGGAGGAACACCAGUGGCGAAGGCGGCUUACUGGACUGUAACUGACGUUGAGGCUCGAAAGCGUGGGGAGCAAACAGGAUUAGAUACCCUUGUAGUC
rnacentral:rRNA from 1 species